CCUACGGGAGGCAGCAGUGAGGAAUAUUGGUCAAUGGACGAGAGUCUGAACCAGCCAAGUAGCGUGAAGGAUGACUGCCCUAUGGGUUGUAAACUGCUUUUGUACAAGGGUAAACCUGAAUACGUGUAUUCAGCUGAAAGUACUGUACGAAUAAGGAUCGGCUAACUCCGUGCCAGCAGCCGCGGUAAUACGGAGGAUCCAAGCGUUAUCCGGAUUUAUUGGGUUUAAAGGGAGCGUAGGUGGAUUGUUAAGUCAGUUGUGAAAGUUUGCGGCUCAACCGUAAAAUUGCAGUUGAAACUGGCAGUCUUGAGUACAGUAGAGGUGGGCGGAAUUCGUGGUGUAGCGGUGAAAUGCUUAGAUAUCACGAAGAACUCCGAUUGCGAAGGCAGCUCACUGGACUGCAACUGACACUGAUGCUCGAAAGUGUGGGUAUCAAACAGGAUUAGAUACCCGAGUAGUC
rnacentral:rRNA from 1 species